UACGGCCACAUCACGUUAAAACACUGGUUCCCGUACGAUCACCGAAAUUAAGCAACUUCGAGCAUGGUCAGUACCUUGAUGGGUGACCGCUUGGUAAUACU
rnacentral:rRNA from 1 species